CCUACGGGUGGCAGCAGUGGGGAAUUUUGCACAAUGGGCGAAACCCUGAUGCAGCGACGCCGCGUGAAGGAAGAAGUAUUUCGGUAUGUAAACUUCUAUCAUCAGGGAAGAAAAUGACGGUACCUACCUAAGAAGCCCCGGCUAACUACGUGCCAGCAGCCGCGGUAAUACGUAGGGGGCAAGCGUUAUCCGGAUUUACUGGGUGUAAAGGGAGCGUAGGCGGCGAUGCAAGUCAGAAGUGAAAGCCGCGGGCUCAACCUCGGGACUGCUUUUGAUACUGGGUUGCUUGAUUGCAGGAGAGGUAAAGGGAAUUCCUGGUGUAGCGGUGAAAUGCGUAGAUAUUAGGAGGAACACCAGUGGCGAAAGCGGUUUACUGGACUGUAAAUGACGCUGAGGCUCGAAAGCGUGGGUAGCAAACAGGAUUAGAUACCCUUGUAGUC
rnacentral:rRNA from 1 species